AAUGCCCUUAAAGGCCUUGCAGGUGUGGCUGCUGUGUCACAUGUGUGUCAGUAGGUGGCAGAGAGGAGAGAGGCUAUGUCUAUGCUCAGUGUUCUGAUCAGGAACAUCUGAAUGAUUAGUAUAACACU